CACUCACCGAACUGGAGCAGCAGGCAGACCACGCCGAGGACCCCCGCGGCCCAGCCCCAGGCUCUCCCGGCGGUCAUGGCGCGUCCGGCGGGCCUCUAGGGCCGGACUGCGCGGGGGAGUCCUGGCUAAGGAGUCAGGUCUGGUCGCCCCCUCACUCUUCGGCCUCCUCCGAAACCUCCCGCCCCAGCUCCGAAAGGCACCUGGAACACUCCGUGCUGGUGAAGUGGCCAACUCCUCCGUACCACGCCAGCGUUCGGGGGACGCAGGGAACGUGGACUGGCGUGCUGUGCAGGAAGGCACCCUGAGCAGGAAGACACAGCUCCUGUGCGGUUCCUGUAUCCUGGAAAAUGCUUGCUGACAAGUCCAGGUCGGGACAACACUCCAUCGUUUGGGAAAGGUGGUGUGGUCUUGCUGCGGAGGCCCUCUGUAGCCAAGGGGAAGGUUAUUCCCCGUUCCUGUGCUCCUUCUCCAUCAAUCUCCUCCCACCCCGUCCCGUCCCCCUAAAAAAGGAAAGCUGGUUAAGGAGCUCUGCCUUCUGAACCUGCCUAUCGGGCCUCCAGGUGUGUGGUGUGUGCACAGAUCUGGGGGCAGCAUGGCCUUGACAGUCACGGUGGUUGUGUGCAUUUACUAUGAAUCAUCUUCAGCAGAUGGCAGGAAAGCGUCUUGGGAAAGCCUUUAUUGUUUUGUUUUGUUUUGUUUCCCCCAUCAUUUGUACAAAGGCACUCUUUAGGCUGGGGGCAGGGUGGGGUAAUAAAGGCUGCAAUUCUUGACCCUUGAGCCUAGCAGGCCAACGCAAUGCCAGGGGCAGAACUCCACGCUCCCAGGGCGGUUUCACGGAGAGAGGCUGGUUAAGAGAAAGAAGGACAGUGGGCUCCAGUAACUGCAAACAGCCAUAUUUUCAACAUAAUUUACUACAGGUCUCUGAAGUGUAUAUAAAACAUUUUAGUGCAACAUUUUACAAAUAGUUCUCCUUUAAAAAAAAAAACCAAAAACCAAAAAAAAAACCAAACAAACAAACAAAAAAAAAAAACAAACCAAAAA